rnacentral:rRNA from 1 species
AACGGCCGUACCAUGCUGAAUAUAUCGGUUCUCGUUAGAUCACCGAAGUUAAGCAUCAUUGGGCGCGGUCAGUACUUGGGUGGGUGACCACCUGGGAACACCGCGUGCCGUU